GACACCCACAGCGCCAUCUACGCAACUCAUCAUGAGAACUGGCGGCCAUAUACCUUCUCCCUGCUACAAUUUCUUCGCUCAACGUCUUAACGCUCGAGACCAACAACCAAUCAGGAACGUUCCUCGUCCGCGAUCAAUUUUGCGCACCAAUCCGCGGGUGCUAGCAUUGUAUAAUUUAAAACAAACGAAAAUUUACUAUUACUAUUGUCACUCUUCAUUUCUAUCCACGGGAUUACACACCAAUUCUGAAAAUCAAGGAGUUUCUUUUCAAAAAUCCUGCAGUGCCAAGGCUAUUCUGGUACAUUUGGUCCUUCUCAGCCGAAUACAACAAGCGAGCGACCUAUCCGAGCUGCAUAUUCACCGGAAAACGCAAGAUAUCACAAUAUCAACCGGCGAAGCUAUCUUCAAGUCACGUCUACGUAUUGGACACCAGGACUUCAGGAGAUGCAAAAUCGGUACGGCCAGCCAUCCGCAAUAUCCAAAAACCCUUGGUUUUCACUUGUGUAAUACUGUGCAUUUGCUAAUUUCAGUACUUACCUACCUACGUACGCGCAUCAAGUGUGUCGAGUGUUCAACAGCAGAGUGUCGUUGCUAAUACCUGCUGCUUUCGCAGAUCACUACGAACACUAAAACUUGCUGCUGUUCCGCCGCGAGCACGCGCAACUGCUGCACGCGGCUCCGCAGGCGCUGCUGUUCGCGCUGCGCGAGCGCUGGUGGCCGGUAAGGGGGCGUGAUCUCGCAAAAAAGGCAAUACGUCAAUGUAUUAUUUGUACACGCUUAAGAGGUAAAACCGUAAACCCGAUUAUGGGACACUUACCUAUGGAGCGAAUCACGCCAACUUACCCGUUCAUGCGAUGCGGGGUAGACUAUGCAGGCCCGGUGCUCGUACUGAAUCGCAAAGGCAGAGGUGCUAAAACUGUAAAGUCGUACAUUUGUUUGUUUAUUUGUUUCGUUACACGCGCGAUACAUUUGGAACUUGUCAGCGAUCUGACAUCUGACGCAUAUUUUCUAGCCCUGAAACGAUUUAUCUCGCGUCGUGGCAAACCGGAAGUAAUCUUUUCAGACAACGGUAGGAAUUUUGUAGGUUUGAUGAAUGAAUUUAAGAAAUUUUUAACGAAUUGCUCAUCCAAUAUUAUCGAGUAUGCUAGCAGCCAACAGAUUAAAUUUAAAUUCAUACCUCCAUACUCUCCUCAUUUUGGUGGUCUGUGGGAAGCAGGAGUAAAAUCUUGCAAAUAUCACCUUAACCGUGUAUUAGGCAACGCGCACCUAAAUUUCGAAGAGCUAUGCACAUUAUUAACGCAGGUGGAAGCUGUCCUUAACUCCCGUCCACUGAGUCCCCUAUCCACAGAUCCGCACGAUCUUCAGCCUCUCUCUCCGGCUCACUUCCUGGUUGGUCGUCCGCUCGUUGCACCUGUAAGCGCCGACAUGCAAGAUACGCCGAUGCAUCGACUUACUAGAUAUCAACGUGUUGAACAACUGCGCCAGCAUUUUUGGUCACGUUGGACCAAAGAGUACAUCUCGGAGAUGCAGACGAGGAUCAAGUGGAAGGAGAACACGAUCGACUUGCGACCAGACACGCUGGUGAUUGUCAAGGAUGACAACUUACCUCCACUGAAAUGGCAACUGGGACGCGUUAAGAACACGAUCCAUGGAAAAGAUGGCAUCGUGAGAGUUGCUGACAUCCAAACAACAUCCGGAGUCAUCAGGCGCGCUGUAACCAAGAUCUGUCCUUUACUAUGGGAUCAGCCAGAGAUGGAUCCUGCUAGUCUUUCGUAAGCUGGUGCUUCCAAGGCCGGGGGCAUGUUUGGACACCCACAGCGCCAUCUACGCAACUCAUCAUGAGAACUGGCGGCCAUAUACCUUCUCCCUGCUACAAUUUCUUCGCUCAACGUCUUAACGCUCGAGACCAACAACCAAUCAGGAACGUUCCUCGUCCGCGAUCAAUUUUGCGCACCAAUCCGCGGGUGCUAGCAUUGUAUAAUUUAAAACAAACGAAAAUUUACUAUUACUAUUGUCACUCUUCAUUUCUAUCCACGGGAUUACACACCAAUUCUGAAAA